AAAUGUUUGAAUCAGUUUUAUUGUUACAGACACGUCAAUAAACUCCAUAUAUUUCUGAAACUGUAAACAAGUCUGUUACAAUAAAAUUGAUUAAAACAUUUGGGAUAAAGAGACAAA